AGUGACCGCUGGCGGCGUGCCUAAUACAUGCAAGUCGAACGGAAUUUAAAAGAGCUUGCUCUUUUUAAAUUUAGUGGCGCACGGGUGAGUAAUAUAUAGCUAAUCUGCCCCUUGCUGGAGGACAACAGUUAGAAAUGACUGCUAAUACUCCAUACUCCUUUUUACCAUAAGAUAAAUCGGGAAAGAAUUUCGGCAAGGGAUGAGACUAUAUCGUAUCAGCUAGUCGGUGGGGUAACGGCCUACCGAGGCUAUGACGCGUAACUGGUCUGAGAGGAUGAUCAGUCACAUUGGAACUGAGACACGGUCCAAACUCCUACGGGAGGCAGCAGUAGGGAAUAUUGCGCAAUGGGGGAAACCCUGACGCAGCAACGCCGCGUGGAGGAUGACACUUUUCGGAGCGUAAACUCCUUUUGUUAGGGAAGAAUAAUGACGGUACCUAACGAAUAAGCCCGG
rnacentral:rRNA from 1 species